UACGGGGGGGGCAAGCGUUGUUCGGAAUUACUGGGCGUAAAGCGCGCGCAGGCGGUCUUCCAAGUCAGUGGUGAAAGCCUGGAGCUCAACUCCAGAACUGCCAUUGAAACUGUUAGACUUGAGUACGAGAGAGGUGAGUGGAAUUCCCAGUGUAGAGGUGAAAUUCGUAGAUAUUGGGAAGAACACCAGUGGCGAAGGCGGCUCACUGGCUCGUAACUGACGCUCAGGCGCGAAAGCGUGGGGAGCAAACAGGG
rnacentral:rRNA from 1 species